AUGAUGAUUGUGACCUUUUUACAGGGAGUUGUGGGAAGUGGAGCAUUUAACAUCUUGCUCACCUUCUAUGUGACCCCUUCAUACCACACCUCCGUUGGGAGAAAAAACAAACAGCACAGAGCUGAGAACUAUCAAGGAUUGAGGACCAGAUUAUAUCACCUCUCCUUUCUAGAUGAAUAUUGCUCUUCCACCGAAGACACUGGGAACACAGUCUGCAUGGAGACAUCCUUCCACAUGAGAAUACCACUUCAAGACCACAACAGGUAACUGUGUCAUCUAAAUUCAUA
ensembl:lncRNA